AUUGAACGCUGGCGGCAUGCCUUACACAUGCAAGUCGAACGGCAGCACGGAGCUUGCUCUGGUGGCGAGUGGCGAACGGGUGAGUAAUAUAUCGGAACGUACCCUAGAGUGGGGGAUAACGUAGCGAAAGUUACGCUAAUACCGCAUACGAUCUAAGGAUGAAAGUGGGGGAUCGCAAGACCUCAUGCUCGUGGAGCGGCCGAUAUCUGAUUAGCUAGUUGGUAGGGUAAAAGCCUACCAAGGCAUCGAUCAGUAGCUGGUCUGAGAGGACGACCAGCCACACUGGAACUGAGACACGGUCCAGACUCCUACGGGAGGCAGCAGUGGGGAAUUUUGGACAAUGGGCGAAAGCCUGAUCCAGCAAUGCCGCGUGAGUGAAGAAGGCCUUCGGGUUGUAAAGCUCUUUUGUCAGGGAAGAAACGGUGGGAGCUAAUAUCUCUUGCUAAUGACGGUACCUGAAGAAUAAGCACCGGCUAACUACGUGCCAGCAGCCGCGGUAAUACGUAGGGUGCAAGCGUUAAUCGGAAUUACUGGGCGUAAAGCGUGCGCAGGCGGUUUUGUAAGUCUGAUGUGAAAUCCCCGGGCUCAACCUGGGAAUUGCAUUGGAGACUGCAAGGCUAGAAUCUGGCAGAGGGGGGUAGAAUUCCACGUGUAGCAGUGAAAUGCGUAGAUAUGUGGAGGAACACCGAUGGCGAAGGCAGCCCCCUGGGUCAAGAUUGACGCUCAUGCACGAAAGCGUGGGGAGCAAACAGGAUUAGAUACCCUGGUAGUCCACGCCCUAAACGAUGUCUACUAGUUGUCGGGUCUUAAUUGACUUGGUAACGCAGCUAACGCGUGAAGUAGACCGCCUGGGGAGUACGGUCGCAAGAUUAAAACUCAAAGGAAUUGACGGGGACCCGCACAAGCGGUGGAUGAUGUGGAUUAAUUCGAUGCAACGCGAAAAACCUUACCUACCCUUGACAUGGCUGGAAUCCUUGAGAGAUCAGGGAGUGCUCGAAAGAGAACCAGUACACAGGUGCUGCAUGGCUGUCGUCAGCUCGUGUCGUGAGAUGUUGGGUUAAGUCCCGCAACGAGCGCAACCCUUGUCAUUAGUUGCUACGAAAGGGCACUCUAAUGAGACUGCCGGUGACAAACCGGAGGAAGGUGGGGAUGACGUCAAGUCCUCAUGGCCCUUAUGGGUAGGGCUUCACACGUCAUACAAUGGUACAUACAAAGCGCCGCCAACCCGCGAGGGGGAGCUAAUCGCAGAAAGUGUAUCGUAGUCCGGAUUGUAGUCUGCAACUCGACUGCAUGAAGUUGGAAUCGCUAGUAAUCGCGGAUCAGCAUGUCGCGGUGAAUACGUUCCCGGGUCU
rnacentral:rRNA from 1 species